rnacentral:rRNA from 1 species
UACAGAGGUCUCAAGCGUUGUUCGGAUUCAUUGGGCGUAAAGCGCACGUAGGCGGAUUGGAAAGUUGGGGGUGAAAUCCCGGGGCUCAACCCCGGAACUGCCUUCAAAACUCCCAGUCUGGAGGUCGAGAGAGGUGAGUGGAAUUCCGAGUGUAGAGGUGAAAUUCGUAGAUAUUCGGAGGAACACCAGUGGCGAAGGCGGCUCACUGGCUCGAUACUGACGCUGAGGUGCGAAAGCGUGGGGAGCGAACGGG